CCUUGACAUACUAAGAACUUUCCAGAGAUGGAUUGGUGCCUUCGGGAACUUAGAUACAGGUGCUGCAUGGCUGUCGUCAGCUCGUGUCGUGAGAUGUUGGGUUAAGUCCCGNAACGAGCGCAACCCUUUUCCCAUUUGCCAGCGGGUCAUGCCGGGAACUUUAAGGAUACUGCCAGUGACAAACUGGAGGAAGGCGGGGACGACGUCAAGUCAUCAUGGCCCUUACGGCCAGGGCUACACACGUGCUACAAUGGUCGGUACAAAGGGUUGCUACCUCGCGAGAGGAUGCUAAUCUCAAAAAGCCGAUCGUAGUCCGGAUCGCAGUCUGCAACUCGACUGCGUGAAGUCGGAAUCGCUAGUAAUCGCGGAUCAGAAUGCCGCGGUGAAUACGUUCCCGGGCCUUGUACACACCGCCCGUCACACCAUGGGAGUUUGUUGCACCAGAAGUAGGUAGUCUAACCGCAAGGAGGACGCUUACCACGGUGUGGCCGAUGACUGGGGUGAAGUCGUAACAAGGUAGGCGUAGAUGA
rnacentral:rRNA from 1 species